GUGGAUGCUCUAAUAGCUUAGUUGGGAGAGCGUCAGACUGAAGAUCUGAAGGUCACGUGUUCGAUCCACGUUCACCGCA